GACGAACGCUGGCGGCGCGCUUAACACAUGCAAGUCGAACGGAAAGGCCUGCUUUCCCUUGUGGAUUGCGGGUACUCGAGUGGCGAACGGGUGAGUAACACGUGAGUGAUCUGCCCCCAACUUGGGUAUAAGCCUGGGAAACUGGGUCUAAUUCCCGAUAGGACUGCAGGGUGGUGCCUGUGGUGGAAAACGAUUUUCUAGUGGUUGGGGAUGAGCUCGCGGCCUAUCAGCUUGUUGGUGGGGUAAUGGCCUACCAAGGCGGCGACGGGUAGCCGGCCUGAGAGGGUGGACGGCCACAUUGGGACUGAGAGACGGCCCAGACUCCUACGGGAGGCAGCAGUGGGGAAGAUGGCACAAUGGGCGGAAGCCUGAUGCAGCGACGCCGCGUGGGGGAUGACGGCCUUCGGGUUGUAAACUCCUUUCGACCGCGAGGAAGCCACCUGGUUGGAAGGGUGGUGACGGUAGUGGUAGAAGAAGCACCGGCUAACUACGUG
rnacentral:rRNA from 1 species